UUUUUUUGUAUGCAUCCACUCUACACAUAUAUAUACACAUACACACACAGACACCCCCAAAACAAGCUUAGUAUGAGCCAGAUCCAUUUCUUUAUCUCUAAAACAAAGAUUCAUUACAUGAUUUUCCUACUGGAUAGAAGUAUCAUCUAGGAAUUUAAGAAAGCUACACUUGGCUACAUUCAGCUCUAUUCCAGAAUUAGGUGAGCAAGGCACAGCAAUCUGAGCUCCACCUCCACUAAGGACUUGAGCUUUCUUCUGUAUUCUCAUCUACAUCCACCACAGCAGUAGCCCUCCAGUCAUCAACUGGGAUUCGUUUUAUAGCCUCUGAAUGCAAGCUUCUUCUACCAUGCCUCCCUCCCAAGGAACUGGAAAGACAAAUGAGACAGAUCUCCUGCCCACAUGAAAUCCUAACAGCAUAGGGCAGACUUCCAUCUGUUUAGUGGAGUUUAUUAUUUAAUUAGUAUGGGGGGCUUUGAGGAAAAAUAAGUAGGGUUAGCAAAACAACAAUAACUUUCAGCUAACAGAAACUUAUAUCCUUGUUUAUGUCCAGCUUUUACUCUUUAAUAUAUUUUUUCAAACUGACAUGUAAAUCAGCCAAAUUUUAUUAUAAUCAUCUGAAAUGAAUGUUUUCUUAUGGUUUACCAUGAACACAUUAUGAUGCCACCGCUACAACUGUUUAUCUGAUAUCACCUUGGGUGAAACCCCAGAAACAGCUUUCAUCCUAUAGUCCAGCCUAUCCGUGUUGCUCAACAGAAGGAAUGUCUACCUUUCCUCUACUGAAACUAUCUCACCAUCCCAAUGUGCUUGCCACCCAGUGUGUCUUUGCACUACUGAUGAACUCCAGGAAGCAUCAUAAUAUGAUGCUCUCGUCCAAAGGUUGAUCUGUUACCUAAUACUUGAUUCUCUAAAGCAUCAUUUGGCAGAGUUCUUUACAUACCAUGCUUGCAGAUAUUCUGCUAAUGAAACUCACCCUCAUGUAAAAUAUCAGAAUUAGAAAGCCCAACCACUAAUUUUAUUAAUUAGUUAUGAAUACAAAAUUGUGCUGAGGCGCAUACAAACUAUGAAAUUCCCAACUCAGCUGAUUAGAAAGAUGUUAUCCUUUAAAACAAGAAAAAGAAAUACCCAUAAAGCCGCACUUAGAACAGAAAGCAUAAUUGGCUUGCUAACUAGAAAAUAGAUGUCACUUAAAAAAAAAAAAAAAAGAAAGAAAAUAGAUGUCACUGUAAUCAGGAAAAUACAUGUUUUUUUUUUUAAGACAAAUAAAGUAUAACAUGUAUUUCCUGAAAAGUGAUUUUUUUUCAAACUAUACUGCUGAACUGUAUUCUGUUGUUAUAUAAGCCUUUGUAUAUCAACUCUGUGUCAAGUAACUAUAACAAUGCAAAUCAGUUAAUGAAGCUUCAAAAAAAUCGAUCUGGGAAUAUCAUAGGGAAAAAACUGUUUUUCAUCUACUUAAGCAACUCAGUAACUGUAUCUUGAUUACCAAGUCAAUGUUAGUACAGUAUUUCCCCCAGAAUCUGAUUAGCCUGGAGGUCUUUAGGUAAACACAUGAAACUUUUCAUUGUUGCGAUCAAAAUUUUAUAGAGGAGCUAAUAACAGAAAUUUCAACUCUGCGUUUUAAUGAAAAAGAUGCCCUAGUUUACCAAAAUAAAACACAAAUUAGAAGAAAGAGAUGCCAAUCUGAUGUCUUUUGGUGAAAACCAGCAGGUUGCAAUAGUAGUACUUCACAUACCUACUGUUCUACAGAUUUAAGGUGAGAAAUCAUGGCAACAUAUUCUUCUAAAGUUUGUGUGUUUGGUUGGUUGCUUUUUUGACCUGCCCACCUCAUCACUCUAAGGUAAGAGAUCAUGUAGUCAUAGCCACUUUUAAUCUUUGGUUUGUGUAUUUUCUGUUUUAUAACAUUCCCAUCACAUACUCUAAGUCUUUACGUCUUUGGUUCUCUAAAUUCUGCCAGUGUUCCUUUCCUAGGAGUUGAGGAAUUAAAGACAAUAGCCAAUAAUAGGUUUGAGCAGUUUCCCAUAAGACACUCAUUAAAAAAAAAAAAAAAAGUUUCAUAGGUUCUUAAAAAUCUCAGGAAUGAAAUGAAAUUUAAGCUUAUUCAACCCAGGCACUCUAAUAAUCCUCACUAAGCAGUUAACCUCAAAACAUCUGCAGUGGCAUAGCUCAUGACUUUUUAAUCACAGCCCAUCCAAUUUUCAGCUGAUUCUGACUACCAAAGCAAAAUUUGAUUCCCAAAUCUCCUACCCAGUGAACUUAACACUACACUUGAGAACUCCCCCUAAAGGGGUAGGGGAGGUCAGCCUUUUCUUUCUCAUCAGGUUUGAAUUUUAAGUAUUCAAAGACAGCAAAUAUUAUGUAUAUUUAAUCUUAUCAUUAUGCUAAGUGUCCAUUUCCUUUAGUUUUUUCUGUUAUGAUUUCAAGUGCCUACAUCUGAACACCCACUUCUUUGGGGACCAAGAGAGACUUAGAGUCUGGACUGGACCAGGGGAUGGUAACAACCCUAAAUGGCUAUAUGUAGGACAGCUCUAAGCCAAAUCCUUUCAGGAGAACUAAGAAGCUAAGUCUGUGAUAACCAAUAUCAAUGACAACUCUCAAAUCACAGGAGGAUUAAUAAGAACAGGCAAACAUAAGAAUAGAUUGGAGAUACCCAAGAGGAGGAUGUGGAAUGCAUUCACGUGUUGGUGGUUCAUCUUUAUCAAGCAGUUGUGUGGGCAUGUGAAGGACUACAUCAAAACCUGCACACAACAAUAAAAGGUACACAUCCCGGGGCAUGCUCAUAAGGUAAUAAAAGUCCCUUUCACUGUCAAUGGCCUAAUAUCAUAAGGGUAACAAAUAUAUAACUGUUUAGACUGCAAGAAGAUAUAAAGCAUGAUAGCACAUGAACACAAUAUUAAUCAUUUAAAUGGCUUAUUAAGUUAUAAUUUAUCUUCUGAGACAAUGUAAAAAUUGCAAAAUUUUAAACAAAAACUUAGAAUAAACUAGAACACACUCCAUAGAGAAAAGCAGCUCUCCCUCAGACUGUGCCAUUAGCAACUUUGUAAUAGCCCAAACUGGAAACAACCCAGAAGGCCAUAAACAGGAAUGGAUCAACCAACUGGUAAAACUGUACAAUAUAAUACUACACAGGAGGGGGAAAAUAAACUAAUGUGGCUGAAUCUCAAAAAUGUGUCUAGUUAAAAAAAAAAAAAGAAGAGUAUAUACUGUAUGAUUCUAAUUAUAGGAAAUUGCAGAAAAGGCAGAAUUCUAGUAUGAAAAGGUGGAUCACUUGUUGUCAAGUUCAGGGUUAGGAAGGUGUGAAUUAACGUCACCGGGGCAUGAGGGGACUUUUGGGGGUGACAGAAGUAUUCUAUAUAUUGAUUAUGAUGGAGGUCAUAAGUGAGUCUAUGUGUCAAAAUUCACUGAACUGUACACUUAAAAUAAGUGCAUUUUAUCAUCUAAAUUGUAUAUCAUUAAAAUUGAUUUUUUAAAAAAAGCUAUCAGAAAACCAGCUAGAUAACUCUUAAACUCCUUGCCCAUUCAGGGUAUAAAAGGCCAAGGGUGAAGAUAGCUCUAUCUAUCAAAAAAAGUAGUAAAAAACGUUGAAUGCUGUGAACCCUAAUCAUCCUUAAAAAAAAAAAAUCUAGGGAAGUUAUGUCUUUCCUUGCCUUAUAUCUGGUGAAAAAGCUUCAAAAGGACUACUCAGAAAACCUAAUAACUGCUUUUUCAGAAUGGAAGAGAAAUGGACUUGAUGUCAGACUCACACUUGAGAAAUCUAAGGCCGAAAACUUUUGAUGGCAGAGCAAAGGUAAGGUAGCAAAUUAGUGAUUUAUCCUACCUAAAAUGCCAUUAGGACAAACUAUUCUGUGGCAUUUUCUGGGAGCUAAGAGAGCACUAGAGUGGGGACAUUUUAGGUCUUGUCUAAGAGAGUAGACCAAAAAGAUAAAGGGUCCUCAGCAGAAAUGCAGCUAGAUGUGAAGGGUUGAAUUCUCAGGAGCUGAAGAAGUGGUUCAGAGACAAGAUGCACCUUCCCUUGUCAAGGUUACCCUAGAUAAGAGGUCUCCACAAAAUGGAGAGUCUCUAAAGAACUUUAAGUCCCACAGCAGAGAUCAUCAUACUUAAAUACACACCAAGUUCAGAGAGCAUGAGGGCAGUUUUUGUAGUACCAGUGAAGGGAAAAUGUUACUGCCCUUCUUUCUUACAUCAUCAUUCACCCUCCAUUCCACUCCAAUCCCAGAGGAAUCCAAAAUCAUGGUUAAUAGGCAGAGAGGGAACAGUAAAACACAAAGACAUAAAAAAAGAAAAGAAGCUGUCCAGACAGUCCCUUAAUAACUACAUGCCUCCAACAAAUAGAAAGUUUGAGCUCAGGGGCAUUUCUGACUGUAAGUCAAGUGUGCACUUUUGACAACUGUAUAGAAUUAGGUAAUUAAUUUCUGAACCAGUACUAUUCAUGUUAGAUAUGAAUAACCAGAAAAGUUGAGCACCUUCCUGACUUCCUUAAGAGUUGCAGGAAAAUAAAUAUUCCCACCAAGUGAAAUUCAAAAGAGAAAGGAAGACAAAAGUAAAAUUGGUACUAUAGGGGCACAUCUGGGUGGCCCAGCCGAUUGAUAAUCCAACUUAGUCUCCUACAGAGACUAAGCACUAAGUCUCUCUCUUCUCACUGAAGUAUUCUGUCAAAUUAGUUUAACCUGACCAUCUCUACACUCAAAGUCAAAGGCUUUUUGUCUUCUGCACACAAUAUUCAGUAAUUAGUUGUUGAAUAAAGCAUUAAGUGAAUAAGUAUAAUCAAACAUACCUAUUUCUAAUGCCACCAUUGAUAUAAGGUUUUAUAGUUCUUUUUACUUACUACUAAAUUUGAGUAUAGGAUUAGAUAAAACAUCAUAUUUGCCAUUCAUUAAGCAUCAAUUCUCUAUGGUUGUCAUUUAAAAAAAAAGUCUAUCCUCAUUUUGCUAAGCAAAAAGAAAUGAACAGAAAUAGAAAUGCAGAUUUAUUCACUUAUCAUUUAUCAAAUACUCAACUUUAUACUGAUCUGUCAGGGCUCAAUUCUGUCUAUCCAACACACAGUGGCUUAGGCCCAAAGUGAAGAUAUCGACUUAAAUGACUGAAAAGGCCCUGACAAAAUAGCUUUGAGUUAUGGUUCAUUAAAACCACCAGGACCAAGUUACUCUUUCCCUUUUGCCAAAUUUUGUUUCUUUUGGCAUAGAUCCAUCCUCAGAGGCCUCUUCUCUUAUAGCAGAAACAUGGCUACAAAGUGUCCUGUGAUACAUCCUUUCAAGUUAAAGUCUAGAGGCAAGAUAGAGCCUACUUCCUUGGUACCAUUUGUUUUUAAAGUCCCAGAAUUUAGUGCCUUUGGAUAAAGGGUUAAUAAAAUAAUUUCCCUCACCACAUGAGAUUCUGACAAUUGGUCAGAUAUCUAGCUCUCCUAGCCAAUUGAUGACAGUCAAGGGUCGACUAUUUUGUUAGGCGUUUCUACAAUAAAAGUGAUCCUUGAUUACUUAGAGGAACUCUAAAUCAACAAAAUAGCUGAUGAGAUUGCCAUGCUUUGGGCUUCCCUGAGUUUAGUGACUCUUAUAACUGGUACUUCCUUUGCAGAGACCCUGGAAGCUAAGCUUAUGCAUUCAUUCCAAAGAUACUGGCUUGUAUAGGGCAUUACUUCAUCACUUGUACAGUGUAAAUCUUGUUUUCUUGCACCUGAGCCAUACUGCUAUUCUAGACUGCUGCAAGUACUCUUGCAGAGAAAGAAUGUCUACUGCCACAGGCAAGCUGUGCUUCCUUUCCUAUAACCUUCUGAGUAGUCUAGUAGUUAGGGGUGACAUAAGCAAGUGAGUUUAAAUGUUUAGCUCAAAAGACCCUGAUAGGUAUUACAGUGCCCAUCUCUGAAACAAUAACUGUAACAAGGGGAAUAGAAAUGACUGAUUGGAAUAACCUCAGAUUACAUGUUCCAACCCUGGAACAAAGAGAUGUUGAGCUUCUUCAUCCAAUGUACAGGGGCUGCAAGUGAAGUAGGACUGGUUCCCCUGAAGCCCAGAUUUCUUUACCAAAAGAAGAAUGAAAUGCCCAGCAACCAACCCAGUAAAUAUUUGCUAUGUAAUUGACUCCUUCCUCCAUACCAUAUCAAAGCCCAUGGGAUUCAAAUUCUUGCUUCAACCAAAUGACCAAUAAGUACAUGUCAGGAACCUAUGAUUCAAGUAAUCAAAAAAAAGUUGCAUGUUUAAAAUAGCAAAUGCUAAAAAUCUACAAUAAGCCAUUGUUGUACCUCUUUUAAAUGAUAAUCUACAACUGAAUUUUGGCCUACUAUUAAUAGGGGGUCCCAAAGGAUUCAGCAAUUAUCAAAAUCCCCUGAUGUCUUUGUUAGAUAUUUUUUUACUGUUUUCCUUCCAAAUUGUUUAAAGUGAAAAAAUUGAAAUUAAUUCCCAUCCAAGAGACAGUUAAACACAGUUAAAAGCACAAACUCUAAAUGAAGAAUAUACAGGCUUGAAGCCUGCUCCCUCUAACUUGCUGAUUUUGUGCAAAGUUUAGUUCAAUCUAUGUUUCUCCUAGGACACCUGGGUGGUUCGGCGGUUGGGCAUCUGCCUUCAUCUCAGGGCGUGAUCUCGGGAUUCGGGACUGAGUCCUACAUUGGGCUGCCAGGGGCCUGCUUCUCCCUCUGCCUGUGUCUCUACCUGACUCUCUUCUCUCUCUUUCUGUGUCUCUCAUGAAUAUAUAAAAUAUUUUUUUAAAAAUCUAUGUUUCUCAGUUUGUCAAUUUGGAAAAUGGAGAGGAUAUCCACCUCAAUGGGUAAUUUUGAGGAGUAAAUAAGUAAAAAUAUAUGUAAAACACAAUGACACCUAACACGAAGAAGAAGCAAGUAUUACUCAAUAUUAUUAUCCUCAUCCCUGAAUUUUGAUAUAUGUAAUCCACAUCUCAACAGGACAUUUUUUUCCUACUUUAAGAGAAUGACUACAUGUAAUAAAAAAAAAAUUGUGACUUUGGGAGAAAU
rnacentral:lncRNA from 1 species